rnacentral:rRNA from 1 species
AGGUCCAGCCUGCCCAGUGAUAAAUUCAACGGCCACGGUAUCCUAACCGUGCAAAGGUAGCAUAAUCACUUGUUCUUUAAAUAAGGACUAGUAUCAACGGCAUCACGAGAGUCACACUGUCUCCUUUUCCUAAUCAGUGAAACUGAUCUCCCCGUGAAGAAGCGAGGAUAAAACUAUAAGACGAGAAGACCCCAUGGAGCUUUAAACCCCCAGCAACCCAAUCUCACACUCCCCUACAAACACAAGGCCUUGCUUACCGGUUUUAGGUUGGGGCGACCACGGAGUAAAAACCAACCUCCAAGACGAAAAGAGCUAAAUCUUUAUCCCAGAGAUACCCCUCUAAGAAUUAGAACACUAACGUAUAAUGACCCGACAACGAUCAACGAACCAAGUUACCCUGGGGAUAACAGCGCAAUCUACUUCAAGAGCCCAUAUCGACAAGUAGGCUUACGACCUCGAUGUUGGAUCAGGGUAUCCCUGUGGUGCAGUCGCUACUGAUGGUUCGUUUGUUCAACGAU